AUUGAACGCUGGCGGCAGGCCUAACACAUGCAAGCCGAACGGUAACAGAAAGCAGCUUGCUGCUUUGCUGACGAGUGGCGGACGGGUGAGUAAUGUCUGGGAAACUGCCUGAUGGAGGGGGAUAACUACUGGAAACGGUAGCUAAUACCGCAUAACGUCGCAAGACCAAAGAGGGGGACCUUCGGGCCUCUUGCCAUCGGAUGUGCCCAGAUGGGAUUAGCUAGUAGGUGGGGUAAAGGCUCACCUAGGCGACGAUCCCUAGCUGGUCUGAGAGGAUGACCAGCCACACUGGAACUGAGACACGGUCCAGACUCCUACGGGAGGCAGCAGUGGGGAAUAUUGCACAAUGGGCGCAAGCCUGAUGCAGCCAUGCCGCGUGUAUGAAGAAGGCCUUCGGGUUGUAAAGUACUUUCAGCGGGGAGGAAGGGAGUAAAGUUAAUACCUUUGCUCAUUGACGUUACCCGCAGAAGAAGCACCGGCUAACUCCGUG
rnacentral:rRNA from 1 species